AAGGAUCAUUAGUGAUUAAACUGUUGCCCUCUGUGCUGGCUCUGCAAGUGCACGUCGGUGACUUUCAUUCCAAUACCCUUGUGAACCUUUGGCCUCUUGCUAGCUUCGGCUGGCAGAGGAUUCUACAUACAAACUCGCAUGUAAUGAAACUCUUGUUGUGCACAAGCACUACUAUACAACUUUCAACAACGGAUCUCUUGGCUCUC
rnacentral:misc_RNA from 1 species